rnacentral:rRNA from 1 species
UACGGAAGGCAGCAGUGGGGAAUAUUGCACAAUGGGCGAAAGCCUGAUGCAGCUAUGCCGCGUGUAUGAAGAAGGCCUUAGGGUUGUAAAGUACUUUCAUCGGGGAGGAAAAAACAAAACUAAUAAUUUUAUUUCUUGACGUUACCCGAAAAAGAAGCACCGGCUAACUCCGUGCCAGCAGCCGCGGUAAUACGGAGGGUGCUAGCGUUAAUCAGAAUUACUGGGCGUAAAGAGCACGUAGGUGGUUAAUUAAGUUGGAUGUGAAAUCCCCGGGCUUAACCUGGGAAUGGCAUUCAAGACUGGUUAGCUAGAGUCUUGUAGAGGGGGUAGAAUUCCAUGUGUAGCGGUGAAAUGCGUAGAGAUGUGGAGGAAUACCGGUGGCGAAGGCGGCCCCUGGACAAAGACUGACGCUCAUGUGCGAAAGCGUGGGGAGCAAACAGGGAUUAGAUACC